UAGUGAGAUCAUUAUUAGAAUUAAUAUCUCAUCUAAAGAGAAAGAUAAAUUCACAAUGAAUAGAAUUAUGUCAAUUUUUCUCAGAAAUAAAAUCUCAAGUCUUACAUGGUAGAAUUAGUAAUUUAUCCCCAAGAAAUUUAUUAUAUAAGUUGAAUAUAUUUAAACAUGAAAAUGAUUAAAUAAAGACAAACUAAAUGUUACGUGGUCUUAACCACUUUGAUUGAACUUUUGAAUAGAGGAAUACCAAACAGUCUUUGGGUGACUACCAACUAGGGUGGUGAUGGAUGUUUGAAAAUCUUUGCAUGUGCCUCUAGAUAUUUGGUCUCCAUUUCAUAUAUUUAUUGUAUUCAACUAUGCAUAUUCUCGUACAUACAUGUAUAAGCAAAAAAAAAAUAGGUUGUUUACCUCAUACCAAGUGAUCUAUGGGUGCAGCAUUGUGAAGCAAGCAGAAAGAAUAAAAAAGCAACAGAUGGCCGCUCCUCGCUCCUGAAUGUCGUUGAAGGAUACUUUUUUACUUGGUCUGUAUGGACUGAUCACAUUUCUUUCAUUUUUGUUCUGAACUUAUUCUUGCCUUCAUGGACAUAGAUACUUGUUUGGUCAUUAAGCGUGUUAGGAAGCAUUAAGGGGAUGAAUAUAUUGUUAUAUUCAAUCUGUAUUAUAAUUUGUAUGUAUCAUUAAUAUUAUAAAUUUUUUACUAUUGAGAUUAUAUAUAGUGAAGAGUAUCAAUUGGGUUUUAAUCAAUUUGGUAAAAAAAUUUGAAACUGGACUCAACUAAUCAAACUGUUUUGAUUGACCCAACUGAUCAAUUAAUGUUGUGAAAAAACUG
rnacentral:lncRNA from 1 species